rnacentral:rRNA from 1 species
UACGUAGGUGGCAAGCGUUGUCCGGAUUUACUGGGCGUAAAGCGCGCGCAGGCGGGCUGGUCAGUCCGGGGUGAAAUCUCACGGCUCAACCGUGAGCGGUCCCCGGAUACUGCCAGUCUUGAGGUGUCUAGAGGAGAGCGGAAUUCCCGGUGUAGUGGUGGAAUGCGUAGAUAUCGGGAAGAACACCAGUGGCGAAAGCGGCUCUCUGGGGACCACCUGACGCUGAGGCGCGAAAGUGUGGGGAGCGAACAGG